AGCCUGCCCACUGAGGAUUUAAAUGGCCGCGGUAUUUUGACCGUGCAAAGGUAGCAUAAUAAUUAGUUUUUUAAUUGAAAGCUGGAAUGAAAGGUUGGAUGAGAAAAUAACUGUCUCUAUUUAGAUUAAUUAGAAUUUUAUUUUUAAGUAAAAAAGCUUAAAUAAAAAUAGAAGACGAGAAGACCCUAUAGAGUUUUAAUUUAGUUGGGGUGAUUGAAAAAUUUAAUAAACUUUUUUUUUGUAAAACCAUUGAUUUAUGAAUAAUUGAUCCUUUAUUAAAGAUUAAAAGAAAAAAUUACCUUAGGGAUAACAGCGUAAUUUUUUUAGAGAGUUCAAAUCGAAAAAAAAGAUUGCGACCUCGAUGUUGGAUUAAAAUUAAGUCUUGGUGUAGAAGCUAA
rnacentral:rRNA from 1 species